CCUGGAAGAGAGAAACUGAAAGGCAGAACUGAGAAGGCUCUUCGCUCAUUGAUCUUGAGAGUUUCAGUGCAGAAACUGACGUGAAUUCCCAGCACUGAGCUCUGCCUCUUAAAGGAGCCACCAGGAAAUAAAAGCUCGGGUUACAGCCCGGCAUCGGGGAAAUAAAAGCCGGGCGGGGGGAGGGGCGGCGGCGGAGGGAGCCGGGACCGGGCCGCGCCGCACAGCCCCCCGCAGCGCGGCCCACGCGCGCCCGCCGCCGGCCCCGGGGAGACGCGGCCCUGGGGCCCCAGAGACCGCGACACAGAAUUCAUUACUGACCUAGACUUGAUCACUGACCUUGAGUUGCUUAAUGAACUUGAGUUGAUUAAUGCCUUUGAGUUGACCGCUGGACUAGAGUCCACUGCUGACCUAGAGUCGACCACCCAAGAGUCCCCUACCCACCUGGAGUUGU
rnacentral:lncRNA from 12 species